UACGUAGGGGGCUAGCGUUGUCCGGAAUCAUUGGGCGUAAAGAGCGUGUAGGCGGCCCGGUAAGUCCGCUGUGAAAGUCGGGGGCUCAACCCUCGAAUGCCGGUGGAUACUGUCGGGCUAGAGUGCGGAAGAGGCGAGUGGAAUUCCUGGUGUAGCGGUGAAAUGCGCAGAUAUCGGGAGGAACACCAGUAGCGAAGGCGGCUCGCUGGGCCAUUCCUGACGCUGAGACGCGAAAGCUAGGGGAGCGAACAGG
rnacentral:rRNA from 1 species